UACGUAGGGUGCAAGCGUUAAUCGGAAUUACUGGGCGUAAAGCGUGCGCAGGCGGUUGUGUAAGACAGAUGUGAAAUCCCCGGGCUCAACCUGGGAACUGCAUUUGUGACUGCACAGCUGGAGUGCGGCAGAGGGGGAUGGAAUUCCGCGUGUAGCAGUGAAAUGCGUAGAUAUGCGGAGGAACACCGAUGGCGUAGGCAAUCCCCUGGGCCUGCACUGACGCUCAUGCACGAAAGCGUGGGGAGCAAACAGG
rnacentral:rRNA from 1 species